rnacentral:sRNA from 1 species
CCAGGCCGGGUUUUCAAGCAUCAAGACGGAAGUAACAGCGGAAAGGAAGUUCCAGGGCCCGCGCUGGGAAAGAGGCGGGGGGACCAGGGGAAGACUCAGAGUGCGAUGGCGGCGCAAAUUCCAAUUGUGGCCACCACUUCCACUCCUGGAAUAGUCCGGAACAGCAAGAAGAGGCCGGCCAGCCCUUCCCACAAUGGCAGCAGCGGCGGGGGCUAUGGCGCCAGUAAGAAGAAAAAGGUGUCCGCUUCCAGCUUUGCGCAGGGUAUCAGCAUGGAAGCCAUGAGUGAGAAUAAAAUGGUGCCCUCUGAGUUUAGCACAGGACCUGUGGAAAAAGCUGCCAAACCUUUGCCAUUUAAGGAUCCCAACUUUGUGCACUCUGGCCACGGUGGCGCAGUAGCUGGCAAGAAGAACAGAACCUGGAAGAACCUGAAACAAAUCCUCGCUUCUGAAAGGGCAUUGCCGUGGCAACUGAACGAUCCUAACUGUGAGCUGUCUAGAGCCUUCCAUAUGUUUGUAAUGUUCAGAGUAGGAACUGUCUUAUAACAACCUACAUUAUUUUAUUGUGUUUGCAUCAUUGUAGGAAAUAAUUUUUAGCUUGAGAAUUUUAUAGUGGCAUCAGUCUGGGCAGAUUAUGUGUGUAUUUUCUCAUAACUGUAUCUGUAUUGAGCCUAUUUGUUUGUGUUGUCAUGGAUGUGUGGUUUUUAGGGUCAUAGGUCCCGAUAUGAUAAUAUUGGUGUUUCUACUAGACAAACUUCUUAUUCAAAAGUCUACUCUUAAAAUGUGUUUCCA